ACCUCGGCUUCCCAAAGUGCUGACAUUACAGGCGCAAGGCACCGCGCCUGGCUUGGACUCUGAUUUACAUCUGGACAAAGGGAAAGGGUGGAUGCUGUAGAGGCAAGGGAGUGAAUGGUACUAGACAUGUUCUGUUUCCUUCUCCAGCUUCACUCUCUUCUCCUCUUCCCUCCCCUCUUCCCUGUUCUCUACUGUGAAUGGUAGAUCUAUGGGGGCUGGAUCAGUGGAGUCUCCUGCUUCCAGCCUCUAGGGGGUUCAGUCAGUGGGGAACCUCAACUGCAGACCAGAAUGAGGACAUCAGUUUGGAAUUUUAGUUCCCCACCUCCCUCCCCAGUAUCAUUGUGGGCUGGAUGCGUUUUUCAGCCUGAGAUGGGAGCUCCUGUUAGGCAACCCUCUCUGAAUAUCUCUCUCUUUCUGUCUCUGGUUCUCUCUCCGGCUCUCUCUAUUUCUGUCUGUGUAUGUGUCUCUCUCUCUCUUCUCUGCAGAUUCCAGCAGUGGCUCCUCUCCUCGCCCUUAUUGGGCGAUGGUGGUAAGAAAGACCCAACGGUAACAGCUCUGGGAAAAUGCUAACCCGUUUUCUUCUGGAGUUCUCUCAAGCCCUUAUGUCAAUUAUCCCAUGAUAGGCAGAUGCUACAUAGCAACGUUUGGGUCAAUGACGAAUUGCGCAUAGAACGGUAGUCUCCGGAGAUGACAAUAUUGUAUUUAUGCUGUACCUUUUCUACGUUUAGAUGUGUAUAGAUACACAAAUACUUGUCGUGGUGUUAAAAUUGCCUGCAGUAUUCACACCAUAACAUGCACUGCAGGCUUGUAGCCUAGGGGCAGUCAACUCUACCAUCCAUCCUGGGUGUGUGUUGGGCUGUACCAUCUGGGUUUUUGUAAGUGCUCUCUUCAAUGUUCCCAUGGCGAUAAAAUCACCUAACGACACAUUUCUCAAGACAUAUCCCUGUCGUUAUUAAAUGCAUGACUAUACUAAUCUCUCCUGCAGUUGCUCAGAUGGGACGAGCCACCUGUUUGUGCGAGGACCUUGGCUGGAAGCCUCAUACGUCUCAGUGCAUCUUCCCCUCCAGAUCCCUGGGUGUCCUGCUGUCCCCUCACAUGGAGAAACCUCAGCACUGGAAGAAAGGACAAGGUCUUUAUUAUUCAGAUACAUGCAGCCACUCCUCCAACGUCCCCUCUCCCAUAGGACAAGUCCAGCUGCUCCAGGCUCUCCCCAGGGUCGCUAUUAGGUGAGUAGACAUGAAUGAUUGUGUGUGGGGAAGAUAAUUCAUGGGCAGGAUGGG